GUCGCAGUAGCUUAUUUAAAGCAUGGGUCUUGUAAACCCAAGAUUGAAAGCAAAAGCUUUCCUGCGGC
rnacentral:tRNA from 1 species